AGCGAACGCUGGCGGCAGGCUUAACACAUGCAAGUCGAACGGAGCUUUGAGAGCUUGCUUUUAAAGCUUAGUGGCGAACGGGUGAGUAACGCGUGAGUAACCUGCCCUGGAGUGGGGGACAACAGUUGGAAACGACUGCUAAUACCGCAUAAGCCCACGGCCCGGCAUCGGGCUGAGGGAAAAGGAUUUAUUCGCUUCAGGAUGGACUCGCGUCCAAUUAGCUAGUUGGUGAGGUAACGGCCCACCAAGGCGACGAUUGGUAGCCGGACUGAGAGGUUGAACGGCCACAUUGGGACUGAGACACGGCCCAGACUCCUACGGGAGGCAGCAGUGGGGGAUAUUGCACAAUGGGGGAGACCCUGAUGCAGCGACGCCGCGUGGAGGAAGAAGGUUUUCGGAUUGUAAACUCCUGUCGUUAGGGACGAUAAUGACGGUACCUAACAAGAAAGCACCGGCUAACUGCGUGUCAGCCGCCGCGGUAA
rnacentral:rRNA from 1 species